UGGCCGUCGAGGAAAUAGCCAGAUUGAGAUAGAGUACCUCAUCGGGGUUGGUUUGGAGAGGAGCAUUAGGGUGUUGAGAUAACUCUGUAGUUUCUUGAAUGUAGGUUGACAUUUGCUCGUCCAAUAGAACCUGUGUGGUUGCCUCAAAUUUUUGAAAAAGGAAGGCUCCUCUCAACUAACGUCAUGACGAAUCUACUUAAUGCCGCUAUUCGUUAGACGAGGCAUUGUACCUCCUUAUUCUUUGGGAGCACCAUCUCCAAUAUGGCAUGGAUCUUCUCAAAAUUUGUUUCAAUUCCUCGUUGAGUCACAAUAAACCUGAAGAAUAUUUUGGGGAAGACUCUAAAUGCGUACUUGCUUGGAUUGAGCUUCAUGCAAUAUCUUCUCAACCGCCACCCCAAUAAAUCCCUAACCUCUCCCAAUCCCUAACCCCACUCUCCCCCUCCCCAGCAAAGCAUCCCAGCGAGCAGUGCUCGGCAAUGGCGGCCACUGAGGCAACGCUGGCGCCCGAGAAGCGCAUCCCAAAUCCGAAUCCCUUCUCCAAUUCCUCAACCGCACCGAGCUCCCCCUCCUCCUACGCCGCCGGGAACCCCACCCCUUCUUCUCCAAGUCGGAGCUGACAGUAUUGAAGGGGGUGCGCUCGGAGACGGCUCCGGCGUUCUGGCCGCUUAUGCGCCGGAUCUCGCGCCAUUAAUGUCCGAUGAGGUUCACGCCGUCUUCGGCUUUUCUUGACUUGGAUCUUGAGCUUGAUGAGCUCUCCAACCCCUCCAUCGGCUCUGUCUUCCUCCCCCUCGAGCAUUCCGGCAACACGCGUCGAGGACCGGCGCUUGGUGGAUCCGACCGCCGCGAUAAGAAGGCAGCGAAGAAGGAUGCCGUGCCCUCCUAGGUCUCAGGUUGGGUCUUGUGCCCCUUUUCCUUUUCCUUUUGUUUUUCCUGUUCUUGGAUCUGUUAUAGAUGAAGUUUUGCUUGAGAUCGGCUUAGCAUUGCUUUUAGGUUUUCAUGUAUGUUUCCUGCUGUUUGGCUGCCAAGAUAAGGGUUUGGAGAAAAGGGGGAUGAAUAGCCUCAUCAGCCUCACCUCCAAAGCCGAGAUCCACUACGAGGGCGUCCUCGUCUCCAUCAACCUCGAGGAGUCCACCAUUUUCCUCCGGAACGGAUUCAGUACCUCAUGGAUCCAAAUUUAUGAGUUUGAGAGACAGGAUCAGCAGAAGCAAAUAAUUUCUUUGCAGAACUAUCCAAUAGAAAAUGUGUAUACAUUUCAAAAAAUAUUUAUUUAUUUUUUUAAAAAAUAAUUAUAAUAAUAUUUCAAAAUGU